GGAGAGAUGGCUCAGCAGUUAAGAGCACUGGUUCUUGCAGAGGACCUGGGUUCAAUUCCUGGCACCUCCA
rfam:Mesocricetus auratus contig031418, whole genome shotgun sequence.